UACGAAGGGUGCGAGCGUUAUUCGGAAUAACUGGGCGUAAAGGGCGCGUAGGCGGUAUUCUAAGUCGACGGUUAAAGAUCAUAGCUUAACUGUGAAAAGGCCGGCGAUACUGGAGUGCUAGAGGAUAGCAGAGAGGAGUGGAAUUCUCGGAGUAGCGGUAAAAUGCGUAGAUCUCGAGAGGAACACCGAUGGCGAAGGCAGCUCCUUGGGCUAUAACUGACGCUAAUGCGCGAAAGCGUGGGGAGCAAACAGGAUUAGAUACCCUGGUAGUCCACGCUGUAAACGAUGAUUACUGGAUAUGGGGCGUGCUUGCAUGCUCUGUGUCGAAGCUCACGCGUUAAGUAAUCCGCCUGGGAAGUACGGUCGCAAGAUUAAA
rnacentral:rRNA from 1 species